GGUGACAGGAAGCAUGGGAAAGGAGGGGAGAGAGGAAAUAUGAUUUCUCCCCCCCCCCUUCUCACCUAAUUGCCCUGGCCAAUGUCACUGCAGGUGAUGGCUGAUAGCCUGUUUUCAAAAAGGUGCCAGACUUUUAAGGAACCAUCUUCAAACACCAUGUCUAUUCAGAGCAGUAUGCCAGUGUUGAAGGGACAUGCUGCAAAAACUGGAAUACUUUAUUUGCAAAAAUAAUUCAAUUAAGGAGAAAGAAAGAAGAAGUUGACUGUUGACCUUCAAUCAGCUGCACUGUUUUUCUGCAUGGUUCCACCUGGGUCUAUGAGAACUGAGUCUACAUUGACCAUAUAUCACAGUUUCAAACUGCACUAUAUGGCAGUGCAGAUGGUUCCUCAGUUUUGGUUCUCUUCAAAUCUUCAUCUCUCUUGCCACGACUCCAAGAGGUAUGAUUGGUGUUAGUAGUUGGGUAUGCCUAAAAAUAUGAUCUCAUUCCUUGUCUUCAUCUGUGCUCUAUUUGUUUCCAUUUAAAUAAGCAAAUAUAAUACCUGCUGCA